AGUGAACGCUGGCGGUAGGCCUAACACAUGCAAGUCGAACGGCAGCACAGUAAGAGCUUGCCCUUACGGGUGGCGAGGGGCGGACAGGUGCGGAAGACAUCGGAAUCUACUCUUUCGUGGGGGACAACGAAGGGAAACUUACGGUAACACCGCAUACGACCUACGGGUGGAAGCAGGGGAGCUUCGGACCUUGCGCGAUUAAGUGAGCGGAUGUCGGAUCAGCGAGUAGGCGGGGUACAGGCACGCCAAGCAGACGAUCCGUAGCUGGGCCGAGAGGAUGACCAGCCACACUGGAACAGGAACACGGUCCAGACUCGGACUGGGGGCCGCAGUAGGGUACUUUGGACAGUGGGCGCAAGCCUGUUCCAGCAAUGCCGCGUAGGUUAACAAGGCCUUCGGGUUGUAAAGUCGUUUUGUUAGGGGAGAAAAGCAGCAGGUUACUGCCCAGCUGUUCUGACGGUACCCAAAGAAUAAGCACCGGCUAACUUCGUG
rnacentral:rRNA from 1 species